AUAUUAUUUUUUAUUAACUUAAGUUUUAAAAAAAUAAUAAUUAUCUUAUAUAAAUUAAGAUAAGGUAGCAUAGCAUUAUUACCCAAAAAGAGAGAGAGAGAGAAAAGGAGCUAAUCCUUUAUUUUAUUGGGAAAACUUCAAAAAAUCCUCAUGUGAUUUCGUAGUUUCUCACUUUACCCCCUAUGGUUUAAAAUGUAUCAAAUUGCCCCCCUGUGGUUUUAUUUUUAUCUUUUGGGUAGCUUUUUCGUUAAUAUUUUAUUAAAUUAUAUACAAAAAACUUCAGAUACCCAUCUAGAUUUAUCAAAUAUUCACUUUAGUAUCCUUUAAUUUUAACUUUAUUACUGAUUUAAGAAAAAAAAAUAAUGAAAUUGAUAAGAAAAAGAAAAAAACGAAACCACAGAGGGGCAAAUUGAUAUAUUUUAAACCACAGGGGGACAAAAUGAAAAACUACGAAACCACAUGGGGGUUUUCGAAGUUUUCCCUUUUUUUAAAAAAUUGGUUAUUUUGGAAUAAU
rnacentral:lncRNA from 1 species